GACUCAGAGAUGACCAACUCUGUGUGUGUGCUACACUCAGUUCUCUCCUUUCAGCCAGGGAUGAGUCUUAGGCUCACAGAUUUGUGAAUGUGAGCUUGCUUUGUUGCAUCCAACAUAACAUGUUUUCUGGUUUGCUUUUUUCCUGCAUGCUGGUUUCCUUGGUGUGGUUUCGCUUUCUAUCUGUGCUGGAUUCCUAACCUGCACUGGGGAAUCAGAAGCAAGGUCAGAGUCAAAGUCUUUUUGAUAAAGAACCAGGAAUACAUACCAGCACAUCUGGGCUGACUGUCCUUCUUCCCAAGGGAUAGAUCAAUCUCAGAGAAGAUGGUCCUUCCUCUUGAUCUACAGGGUACUCUCUAGAUCAGUAGAGCCUCCUUACAAGUCACCACAUGUAAAUUGGAUUUACAUCCCUAUCAUCUAGAGGAUAGCAAGCACAGAGAACAGCAAAGACAAAAAAGAAAGGACAAAGAAC